UGAAAUCCACUCAAAGAAAAAAUUCAACCGUGAAAUUCACGUGCACCUCUCACAAAUCCCACCCCUCUCUCACGAUCACCCCUCACGCGACCUCCUCCUGUGACGCCCCUCACAUAGUCGCCACCGACGCCUUACCAGCAACAACCUCGCUGAUCCCUCCACACGCCGCCGCCUCCAACUCACGGUCUCCACGGGCGCCGAGAUGGACGCAACCUCCCACACGCUGUCGUCUCCCUCCAGAUCUGGGCUGCCAUCGAUCCCCUCUGCAUCUAACGACAUCGAUUUGCCUACGUACGUGGAGGGCGGCCGGGGCCGCGUAUCCCGGCCAAGGGUGUCGUGCUUGCCCAACGCCCCGGAACAUCGUCUUCCACUGUAGCCCCUCCUCAGGAGGCAAGCGGCAGCAUAUACGUACAUUUACUGACAUUGAAGUUCAUCCAGGAUAGAUGUAGUAGGAGUAGACCAAAGGAAAUGAAUGUCAACCUGAAUGGAUCAACGUCUGGUGUGGUCAGAGCAGUCGGCCGCGGUGGUGCUAGAUGCCAGGCUAUGGCCGAGGGGAACAGGCGAACAGUCAAGAUGGUUCCGUCCGAGAACAAGGAAGACAGCGGGAAGGAGGCGGUACACUAAUGCGAUGCACGGUCUGAAAAACUGGGGGCACCGGAUUGAAAGCAUGACAUCUGCACUGAGCCACUACCACUGCUGAACACCGACCUCAAGUUGAUUUUCUUGAAUCUUCAAAUGGAUUUGCGGGCUAUAGGUCAAUGCCGUCACAUUGGUCAACGACAGCCGGUUCAUAUUUAUCGAUUGGCAACAAAAUUCUAUUGAGAGAUGGUUUAUUAGAGAUUUUCGAACGCUGAAAUUAGAUGAAGAUGUUGCUAAGACUAACACCUUGGAAUGGAUGUAAAAAAAUAUGUCCUAGAGUAUAGAAGAUUGUCUUCAGUGUGUCAUGAUGUGGACCUUCUAUCGCGGUUGAGGGAUGAGCAGUACAAGGAAGACAUGAUUAUCAAGACGGACAUCAGGUUGUGAGGACCUUCUGAAAGUGAUUGAAUGGAGCAAACUCACCGAACCUGCUGCCGCUGCCAGUGCUGCCCCUCUUGGCUCCCUGAAAGGGCCUGCUUGGAAGGUGCUGGCCUCCAGAACAGCGACCUCAUGCUCAAGUCCUAGCCAGCCUAGCAACAAAGAAUGGAGACUCAGUAUUUUUUAUGCUUCAACUUGUUUGCCGCAAAUGUUCAACGAUGCGUUGCAUUUUGGGCUUCAGUUAUAACUUCUACUGACCAGAGUGUAUUUGAUACGCCCAUGCCUAUGUAUUGUUGUUGCUUUGUAUUUGUGUUCUCCAUUAUAGUGUUAUGUAUAAUAGGAAAGCUCACCUUUUUAGUCACAAGUCGGGUAGGCAUUCUGCCCGUUCAUUGGGAUUCAGUAUCGUUCAUUGAGAAUAAGAACAAAACUGAAUUGCUUUUUUGUUCCCCUUA